CCUACGGGAGGCAGCAGUGUGGAAUAUUGGUCAAUGGGCGAGAGCCUGAACCAGCCAAGUAGCGUGCAGGAUGACGGCCCUAUGGGUUGUAAACUGCUUUUAUACAGGGAUAAAGUGACGUACGUGUACGUUUUUGUAGGUACUGUAUGAAUAAGGACCGGCUAAUUCCGUGCCAGCAGCCGCGGUAAU
rnacentral:rRNA from 1 species